rnacentral:tRNA from 1 species
CAAAAAAUAGUUUAUAAAAAUUAUAAUUUUGGAGAUUAUAGAUAAAGAGAUUUCUUUUUUUUUGA